rnacentral:piRNA from 1 species
UAAACUCACCGACAAAACGAG